GGGUUGUGAGGUUAAGCGACUAAGCGUACACGGUGGAUGCCCUGGCAGUCAGAGGCGAUGAAGGACGUGCUAAUCUGCGAUAAGCGUCGGUAAGGUGAUAUGAACCGUUAUAACCGGCGAUUUCCGAAUGGGGAAACCCAGUGUGUUUCGACACACUAUCAUUAACUGAAUCCAUAGGUUAAUGAGGCGAACCGGGGGAACUGAAACAUCUAAGUACCCCGAGGAAAAGAAAUCAACCGAGAUUCCCCCAGUAGCGGCGAGCGAACGGGGAGCAGCCCAGAGCCUGAAUCAGUGUGUGUGUUAGUGGAAGCGUCUGGAAAGGCGCGCGAUACAGGGUGACAGCCCCGUACACAAAAAUGCACAUGCUGUGAGCUCGAUGAGUAGGGCGGGACACGUGGUAUCCUGUCUGAAUAUGGGGGGACCAUCCUCCAAGGCUAAAUACUCCUGACUGACCGAUAGUGAACCAGUACCGUGAGGGAAAGGCGAAAAGAACCCCGGCGAGGGGAGUGAAAAAGAACCUGAAACCGUGUACGUACAAGCAGUGGGAGCACGCUUAGGCGUGUGACUGCGUACCUUUUGUAUAAUGGGUCAGCGACUUAUAUUCUGUAGCAAGGUUAACCGAAUAGGGGAGCCGAAGGGAAACCGAGUCUUAACUGGGCGUUAAGUUGCAGGGUAUAGACCCGAAACCCGGUGAUCUAGCCAUGGGCAGGUUGAAGGUUGGGUAACACUAACUGGAGGACCGAACCGACUAAUGUUGAAAAAUUAGCGGAUGACUUGUGGCUGGGGGUGAAAGGCCAAUCAAACCGGGAGAUAGCUGGUUCUCCCCGAAAGCUAUUUAGGUAGCGCCUCGUGAAUUCAUCUCCGGGGGUAGAGCACUGUUUCGGCAAGGGGGUCAUCCCGACUUACCAACCCGAUGCAAACUGCGAAUACCGGAGAAUGUUAUCACGGGAGACACACGGCGGGUGCUAACGUCCGUCGUGAAGAGGGAAACAACCCAGACCGCCAGCUAAGGUCCCAAAGUCAUGGUUAAGUGGGAAACGAUGUGGGAAGGCCCAGACAGCCAGGAUGUUGGCUUAGAAGCAGCCAUCAUUUAAAGAAAGCGUAAUAGCUCACUGGUCGAGUCGGCCUGCGCGGAAGAUGUAACGGGGCUAAACCAUGCACCGAAGCUGCGGCAGCGACGCUUAUGCGUUGUUGGGUAGGGGAGCGUUCUGUAAGCCUGUGAAGGUGUGCUGUGAGGCAUGCUGGAGGUAUCAGAAGUGCGAAUGCUGACAUAAGUAACGAUAAAGCGGGUGAAAAGCCCGCUCGCCGGAAGACCAAGGGUUCCUGUCCAACGUUAAUCGGGGCAGGGUGAGUCGACCCCUAAGGCGAGGCCGAAAGGCGUAGUCGAUGGGAAACAGGUUAAUAUUCCUGUACUUGGUGUUACUGCGAAGGGGGGACGGAGAAGGCUAUGUUGGCCGGGCGACGGUUGUCCCGGUUUAAGCGUGUAGGCUGGUUUUCCAGGCAAAUCCGGAAAAUCAAGGCUGAGGCGUGAUGACGAGGCACUACGGUGCUGAAGCAACAAAUGCCCUGCUUCCAGGAAAAGCCUCUAAGCAUCAGGUAACAUCAAAUCGUACCCCAAACCGACACAGGUGGUCAGGUAGAGAAUACCAAGGCGCUUGAGAGAACUCGGGUGAAGGAACUAGGCAAAAUGGUGCCGUAACUUCGGGAGAAGGCACGCUGAUAUGUAGGUGAAGUCCCUCGCGGAUGGAGCUGAAAUCAGUCGAAGAUACCAGCUGGCUGCAACUGUUUAUUAAAAACACAGCACUGUGCAAACACGAAAGUGGACGUAUACGGUGUGACGCCUGCCCGGUGCCGGAAGGUUAAUUGAUGGGGUUAGCCGCAAGGCGAAGCUCUUGAUCGAAGCCCCGGUAAACGGCGGCCGUAACUAUAACGGUCCUAAGGUAGCGAAAUUCCUUGUCGGGUAAGUUCCGACCUGCACGAAUGGCGUAAUGAUGGCCAGGCUGUCUCCACCCGAGACUCAGUGAAAUUGAACUCGCUGUGAAGAUGCAGUGUACCCGCGGCAAGACGGAAAGACCCCGUGAACCUUUACUAUAGCUUGACACUGAACAUUGAGCCUUGAUGUGUAGGAUAGGUGGGAGGCUUAGAAGUGUGGACGCCAGUCUGCAUGGAGCCGACCUUGAAAUACCACCCUUUAAUGUUUGAUGUUCUAACGUUGACCCGUAAUCCGGGUUGCGGACAGUGUCUGGUGGGUAGUUUGACUGGGGCGGUCUCCUCCUAAAGAGUAACGGAGGAGCACGAAGGUUGGCUAAUCCUGGUCGGACAUCAGGAGGUUAGUGCAAUGGCAUAAGCCAGCUUGACUGCGAGCGUGACGGCGCGAGCAGGUGCGAAAGCAGGUCAUAGUGAUCCGGUGGUUCUGAAUGGAAGGGCCAUCGCUCAACGGAUAAAAGGUACUCCGGGGAUAACAGGCUGAUACCGCCCAAGAGUUCAUAUCGACGGCGGUGUUUGGCACCUCGAUGUCGGCUCAUCACAUCCUGGGGCUGAAGUAGGUCCCAAGGGUAUGGCUGUUCGCCAUUUAAAGUGGUACGCGAGCUGGGUUUAGAACGUCGUGAGACAGUUCGGUCCCUAUCUGCCGUGGGCGCUGGAGAACUGAGGGGGGCUGCUCCUAGUACGAGAGGACCGGAGUGGACGCAUCACUGGUGUUCGGGUUGUCAUGCCAAUGGCACUGCCCGGUAGCUAAAUGCGGAAGAGAUAAGUGCUGAAAGCAUCUAAGCACGAAACUUGCCCCGAGAUGAGUUCUCCCUGACUCCUUGAGAGUCCUGAAGGAACGUUGAAGACGACGACGUUGAUAGGCCGGGUGUGUAAGCGCAGCGAUGCGUUGAGCUAACCGGUACUAAUGAACCGUGAGGCUUAACCUUACAACGCCGAAG
rnacentral:rRNA from 1 species